AUCUUAUUUUGCAGAAUGAUUUUCAGGUGCCUUUUUUUUUUUAAAGAUGGCCUGGAUUUCUAUUAUUCCUCAAAACAACAUGCUCAGAAGAUGGUAGAAUUCCUUCAAUGUACAGUUCCUUGUAGACAAAAAGCAUCACAAAGAUUGAUCUCUCAGGAUAUCCAUAGCAACACAUAUAAUUACAAAAGCACUUUUUCUGUGGAAAUUGUUCCAAUAUGCAAGGAUAAUGUUGUCUGUCUGUCUCCAAAACUGGCACAAAGCCU